CAUUCACGGAGAGUUUGAUCCUGGCUCAGGACGAACGCUGGCGGCGUGCUUAACACAUGCAAGUCGAACGAUGAACCACUUCGGUGGGGAUUAGUGGCGAACGGGUGAGUAACACGUGGGCAAUCUGCCCUGCACUCUGGGACAAGCCCUGGAAACGGGGUCUAAUACCGGAUACUGACCACCUUGGGCAUCCGAGGUGUUCGAAAGCUCCGGC
rnacentral:rRNA from 1 species